rnacentral:rRNA from 1 species
UACAGAGGGGCAAGCGUUGUUCGGAAUUACUGGCGUAAAGGCGCGUAGGCGGCCUGCUAAGUCGAACGUGAACUCCUGGCUCAACCCAGGAACUGCGUCCGAUACUGGUUGGCUGAGUACUGGAGAGGAUAGUAGAAUUCCUGGUGUAGUGGUGAAAUACGUAGAUAUCAGGAGGAAUACCGGUGGCGAAGGCGGCUACUCGUCGGCAUGUACUGACGCUGAGAUACGAAGCGUGGAGC